UCCUAAUACUCGUCUUUCUGCGGAGGACAGUAGGUGAGACGAGUGCCAAAGAAUACAGAUGAGAGAAGGUGAGAUUAGAGGUCGGAAACAGACGCUGCCCACCAAGACUGUUAAUCGCAUUUUUCACACUGCUGCAGGGCCACGGGGAGCAUACAACAUCGACAUUGAAAAAACUAAAAGAAAACCCUGAGUCAGGAUCAGAACAAGCCAGGAGGACUACACUCCCCACGUGCCCUGCGAACGCCUCGGAUCCCCGAGGAAGAGCUGCGGGAGAAGAAUGUCAGUUUUGCUUAAUCUGCUGCAAAAUGACCCAGAUAUGCAGUGGAAAAUGGAUGGAUGGGGAAUGCACCAGUUACAGGGACAAAAUGGAGGAUGUGCCUGAACAGGACUGGGAGCCUGAGCUUGCUCUAGUUAGGCCUGCAGCUAUGCAUUAUUGAGUGUGGUCCUCUGCAGGGGGUACAACACACACAUCCUUACACACGGAGUCUAAGAGUUGGGAGUGAAGUCUUGCCAGCCAGCGAUGCAUCUUGUCUGAUGAACUGCUGCUUCUUCAUAAAUUAGGCUGACAUCAGUGGAAGGAGUAAAGGGAGAAUAAAUGAAGUAGAAA